CAAGGAAACACCGCAAAGUGAGAACAAUAAAAGGGGUGCAUUCACCGAGAGACGACUAUACACGGCUAUGACUACAACAAUCAGCAUAUAGAUUGCGAUCGCUCGCUUUCUACCGAGAAACUUAGUCUCCCGCUCUCUUUGUUCGAUCAAGAAGCCAGGAAAAGCCAGGGAAACAGUCGAAAUGGGAGAAACAAAAGAGUCCUCAGCUCUGUUUCUUUCGCAAGAUGACUUCGCCACUGUUUUAAAUUUUAAAAGCCCGCGCUCCUUCAAGAAUCACGAACAAUGCGACUGCAGUUUGUUUCCUGUAGCCUUUCGGCUGCAUUUUCGCAAUUCCUUCCGAAAAAUCAGGCUACGCGUGGUUUCCCGCUUAAAACACUACCUAAAUCAUCAAUUCGCAAGCGCAAACUGGAUCUCCAUUAACGAUUAUCCCUUUUCUUACUGGAGUGUUUAUGUUCUUCGUCAAUAUUUCCGGAAUGGACAACGUACACUGACUCACGAGGGCUUUCAAAGAAUCUGGAAAAUUCUGGGAUAUUUACACUUAAGUAGCGUGGCGCGAUCAGAUCGCUGAUAAUAGCACCAGGCUGCGGAUAUUUAUAGAGAUAAGCAUUUUUGUGGAAAAAUGGAACCUAAGUAAAAAUUUUGUUCAUCUGCUAAAUAUUACAUCGAACUUUAGGUAUUUUAUAAAUGUUUGAAUCUUUGAAGUUCGCAUAAGUAUGUAUUAUACAUAAAAUACAUAGAAUUUGGCUAACAA